rnacentral:tRNA from 1 species
UGGGGAGUAGCCAAGUGGUAAGGCAACGGACUUUGACUCCGUCAUACGUAGGUUCGAUCCCUACCUCCCCAGCCA